UGGGGAAUAUUGGACAAUGGGGGCAACCCUGAUCCAGCAAUGCCGCGUGGGUGAUGAAGGCCUUCGGGUUGUAAAGCCCUUUUGGCAGGGACGAUGAUGACGGUACCUGCAGAAUAAGCCCCGGCUAACUUCGUGCCAGCAGCCGCGGUAAUACGAAGGGGGCUAGCGUUGUUCGGAAUUACUGGGCGUAAAGGGCGCGUAGGCGGCUUCGAUAGUCAGGCGUGAAAUCCCCAGGCUCAACUUGGGAAUUGCGCUUGAUACUGCGAGGCUUGAGUGAGGGAGAGGAUAGUGGAAUUCCCAGUGUAGAGGUGAAAUUCGUAGAUAUUGGGAAGAACACCAGUGGCGAAGGCGGCUAUCUGGACCUCAACUGACGCUGAGGCGCGAAAGCGUGGGGAGCAAACAGGAU
rnacentral:rRNA from 1 species